rnacentral:rRNA from 1 species
UACGUAGGGUGCAAGCGUUAUCCGGAAUUAUUGGGCGUAAAGAGCUCGUAGGCGGUUUGUCGCGUCUGCCGUGAAAGUCCGGGGCUUAACUCCGGAUCUGCGGUGGGUACGGGCAGACUAGAGUGCAGUAGGGGAGACUGGAAUUCCUGGUGUAGCGGUGAAAUGCGCAGAUAUCAGGAGGAACACCGAUGGCGAAGGCAGGUCUCUGGGCUGUAACUGACGCUGAGGAGCGAAAGCAUGGGGAGCGAACAGG